rnacentral:lncRNA from 1 species
CUCCUCUUCUCCUUUCCUCCCUCUGAUCUUCAUGCUGCUUCCAAAAUCUCUGCAUGUCUAACAGACAUCUCGUCUUGGAUGGCAGCCCAUCACCUCCAACUCAAUCCCACCAAAACUGAACUAAUAUUCAUUCCAGCAGAUUCUUCACCACAUCAGGAUCUUGCUAUUUACCUAGACAACUCGCAGCUCUCUCCUUCUGCAACAGCCCGCAACCUUGGCGUAACAAUAGACAACCAACUCUCCUUCUCAACUCACAUCAGCAAUCUUUCCCGCUCAUGUAGAUUCCUUCUCUACAAUAUCAGACGAAUCCGCCCUUACCUGUCAACCCAGGCCACCCAACUACUGGUUCAGUCCUUAGUAAUCUCACGACUGGACUACUGCAACUCCCUUCUAGCUGGUCUACCACUAUGUACCAUCCGACCUCUUCAACUCAUACAAAAUGCAGCAGCACGACUGAUCUUCAACCUUCCCAAAUUCUCCCAUACCACCCCUCUGCUACGUUCCCUUCACUGGCUCCCAGUAGCUGCACGCAUCAGGUUCAAAAUACUGAUGCUGGCCUACAAAGCCAAACAUGGAGCAGCACCAUCCUACCUCACAGCCCUUAUUACACCUCGCACUGCACCUCGUUUACUCCGAGCCUCCAGUACUGCUCGCCUGGUCCCUCCAUCUCUGAAGGUAAAAGGAAAACAUUCAUCUAGACUCUUCUCCGUCUUGGCCCCUCGGUGGUGGAAUGAACUUCCCCUCGAGGUCAGAACAGCUCAGUCACUGAGCACCUUCAAACGACAGCUCAAGACCUUCCUCUUUAAAGAAUAUUUAGAUUAAAUUGUAAUUUUCUUGUCAAACUUUGUGUACAGAAUCUACAACAGAGUGAAUUAAAUAGAUGUAUUCAUAGUUGGGGUCCUAGUGAACCGGAAUUGAUCUCUUCAUCGAUGGUAACUUGAAAGCACGUUGUAAGUCGCUCUGGAUAAGGGCGUCUGCCGAAAUGCCGUAAAUGUAAAUGUAAAUGUAUUUCUAAUUUCUAGGCACAAUUUGAGGAUUAAUGUA